AGUCGAACGGUAACAUUUCUAGCUUGCUAGAAGAUGACGAGUGGCGGACGGGGGAGUAAUGCUUGGGAACUUGCCUUUGCGAGGGGGAUAACAGUUGGAAACGACUGCUAAUACCGCAUAAUGUCUUCGGACCAAACGGGGCUUCGGCUCCGGCGCAAAGAGAGGCCCAAGUGAGAUUAGCUAGUUGGUAAGGUAACGGCUUACCAAGGCGACGAUCUCUAGCUGUUCUGAGAGGAAGAUCAGCCACACUGGGACUGAGACACGGCCCAGACUCCUACGGGAGGCAGCAGUGGGGAAUAUUGCACAAUGGGGGAAACCCUGAUGCAGCCAUGCCGCGUGUGUGAAGAAGGCCUUCGGGUUGUAAAGCACUUUCAGUUGUGAGGAAAAGUUAGUAGUUAAUACCUGCUAGCCGUGACGUUAACAACAGAAGAAGCACCGGCUAACUCCGUGCCAGCAGCCGCGGUAAUACGGAGGGUGCGAGCGUUAAUCGGAAUUACUGGGCGUAAAGCGCACGCAGGCGGUUUGUUAAGCUAGAUGUGAAAGCCCCGGGCUCAACCUGGGAUGGUCAUUUAGAACUGGCAGACUAGAGUCUUGGAGAGGGGAGUGGAAUUCCAGGUGUAGCGGUGAAAUGCGUGGAUAUCUGGAGGAACAUCAGUGGCGAAGGCGACUCCCUGGCCAAAGACUGACGCUCAUGUGCGAAAGUGUGGGUAGCGAACAGGAUUAGAUACCAUGGUAGUCCACACCGUAAACGCUGUCUACUAGCUGUGUGUGCCUUUAAGGCGUGCGUAGCGAAGCUAACGCGCUAAGUAGACCGCCUGGGGAGUACGGCCGCAAGGUUAAAACUCAAAUGAAUUGACGGGGGCCCGCACAAGCGGUGGAAGCACGUGAUUUAAUUCGAUGCAACGCGAAGAAGCCUUUACCUACACUUGACAUGCUGAGAAGUUACUAGAGAUAGUUUCGUGCCUUCGGGAACUCAGACACAGGUGCUGCAUGCUGUCGUCAGCUCGUGUCGUGAGAUGUUGGCUUAAGUCCCGCAACGAGCGCAACCCUUUGUCCUUAGUUGCCAGCAUUAAGUUUGGCACUCUACGAGACUGCCGGUGACAAACCGGAAGAACGGUGGACGACGUUCAGUCAUUCAUGCCCUUUACGUGUUAGGGCUACACACGUGCCUCAAUGGCUUUUACAAGAGGGAAGCAGAAAGGUAUGUGGUGACGGCACCCCCUAUAAAAGUUCGGUAACCCGCAUAGUGAUAGUGCGUACACCUCGACUAUCCUCG
rnacentral:rRNA from 1 species